GAAUUUUUGACAAUGGGCGAAAGCCUGAUCCAGCCAUGCCGCGCGCAGGAUGAAGGCCUUCGGGUUGUAAACUGCUUUUGUACCGAACGAAAAGCGUUAGGUUAAUACACUGGCGUCAUGACUGUACCGCAAGAAUAAGCACCGGCUAAAUAAGUGCCAGCAGCCGCGGUAAUACGUAGGGUGCAAGCGUUAAUCGGAAUUACUGGGAGUAAAGCGUGCGCAGGCGGUUUUGUAAGACAGAGGUGAAAUCCCCGGGCUCAACCUGGGAACUGCCUUUGUGACUGCAAGGCUAGAGUACGGCAGAGGGGGGUGGAAUUCCGCGUGUAGCAGUGAAAUGCGUAGAUAUGCGGAGGAACACCGAUGGCGAAGGCAACCCCCUGGGCCUGUACUGACGCUCAUGCACGAAAGCGUGGGGAGCAAACA
rnacentral:rRNA from 1 species